rnacentral:lncRNA from 1 species
GGACCUUGUAAGGCUGACUUUGGAAUAUGACUGCAUUCUGAUGGAGAGAUUUCCAGUUUAAGAUGCCAUACUGAACAUAUACACUGAUCUCUUUGCCUUUGGAAACUCCAUUAAGCUGAUUGUAAAGGAGGAAAAGGAUUCUCACAUGACAAUGAAGAGACUGAAGAAGUAUCAUCAAUGGAUAAAGCAGAAUAGAAAUAGCAGCCGCCUGGACCAUACCUAGAAAGGAAUCAUUUUGCCUGGCAGAAGCAUGAAACAGUUCCAUAUUUGAGAUGGCAUUUACCACUGAGGGAAAAAAAAAGUAUCAUGUGAAAGAAGCAAGAAUUGGACUGACCACACACUUGUCAUUGCCAAUCAGAUGCUGCAAAACAAUGGAUCUGUUUUUCAGAGUUCUGAAAUAAAAUGCUAAUCAAACUAGAAUCUGCUUAGCUAAGACACUGCCAAAUAUGAAGACCAAAUAAAAGAUUUUCAGAUGUGUCAUAAUUCAGAGUUUAUACUCCAAGCAUUCUUUUGUAGAAAGGAACUCAAGGGUGUAUUUCAGCAAAAUAAAGAAGUAAAGUACUAGAGCCAUCACUCAGAGAGCAAAUGACCAGACCAGAUGCUAACAACAAACAUUGUGUGACUUCCUAUCUCCAGCCACUUCUGAA